rnacentral:lncRNA from 1 species
UUCGAAAUGACCCAAUUUUAACAGGCUUCUUUGCAGUUGAUGGUCAAUGGUAUGUCAUAUUUAAGGACAAUCUGUUCAUCGCAUUGUGUUGUGUAGAUGUGCAAGUUUUAUUUAUAUUUAAGGUUGUCUGAUAAUUCAUAUUUUACUGUUGGAUUAGGUGAAAAACUGAAGAGGAAGAACAGGGAGACAACUAACGCUAGCCCCGGUGAAAAUUCGACAAUCCCUAUAGUUGGUUUGAGAUCUUCGAUAGCUCCUGCAAAGAAGACAAGGACUGAAAAAAUUCAUGCACAAUCUAUAAAUUCACUAAAUGUCAGGCAAUUGUUCAAAUAUUCUAGCUAUAAAAAAUUAGAUACCAUUAUACGUCACAAUAUAAUAACAUUCACAUUCCCAAUCAGAAUGAUUCACACAGUAUUACUUCGUAUUCAUUUCGAGCAAUCAAG